AUUGAACGCUGGCGGCAGGCCUAACACAUGCAAGUCGAGCGAGCGGCGGACGGGUGAGUAAUAUAUGGGGACUGCCCGAUAGAGGGGGAUAACUACUGGAAACGGUGGCUAAUACCGCAUACUAUCGGAUAACCAAUAUGGGAUUAGCUAGUAGGUGGGGUAAAGGCUCACCUAGGCGACGAUCUCUAGCUGGUCUGAGCGGAUGAUCAGCCAAACUGGACCGUAGACACGGCCAAGAUCCCUACGGAGGAAGCAGUGGGGAAUAUUGAACAAUGGGGGCAAGCCUGAUGCAGCCCGGCGGCGUGUAUGAAGAAGGCCUUAGGUUUGUAAAGAAUUUUCGGCGGGGAGACGUUACCACAGAAGAAGCACCGGCUAACUCCGUGCCAGCAGCCGCGGUAAUAC
rnacentral:rRNA from 1 species